rnacentral:rRNA from 1 species
CAGUAGCCGCGGUAAUACGUAGGUGGCAAGCGUUGUCCGGAAUUAUUGGGCGUAAAGGGCUCGCAGGCGGUUUCUUAAGUCUGAUGUGAAAGCCCCCGGCUCAACCGGGGAGGGUCAUUGGAAACUGGGAAACUUGAGUGCAGAAGAGGAGAGUGGAAUUCCACGUGUAGCGGUGAAAUGCGUAGAGAUGUGGAGGAACACCAGUGGCGAAGGCGACUCUCUGGUCUGUAACUGACGCUGAGGAGCGAAAGCGUGGGGAGCGAACAGGAUUAGAGACCCCCGUAGUCCCUGUCUCUUAUAU